UUUGUCACUAACACCGUUUGAACAGUACACGUGUCGGUGUGUCCAAGUGCCACGUGUCAGUCCACAUGUGCAAAUUGAUUGCCACAUGUGACAAAAUUGACGGAAAUGACUAACUUGAAACCUAAAAUAAACGUAAGGGACCAAAUUAAUACUUUUUAAACGUAAGAGACCAAAUUUAACCGUAAAUAAAUAUUGAGACUAACUUGCUUUAGUAUACUAUGUCUAUGCUCUAAUGAAUGAUAAUCAUAAAUAAAUACUGUACAUGAUUAGGGUGAUUGUCUAAUUUGGUAAAGAGCAAAUAAUCAUAACAUCUGUAGAAAGAAGAUGAGUGGAUCAGGGAGUAGAAAAAAUGAGAAGGAUAGCAAGGAAGACAAUGAAGGAGAAGGAAGUGGAUGGGCAUCAACGUUUUUGAAAGUAGCCGGUGCAGUGGCCGCAGCAGCAGCAGUAGCCGGUAGCUUAUACAGUAUCCACCGUAUCCUAAAACAACCCG
rnacentral:lncRNA from 1 species